UACAGAGGGUGCGAGCGUUAAUCGGAAUUACUGGGCGUAAAGCGUGCGUAGACGGUUAUUUAAGUCGGAUGUGAAAGCCCCGGGCUCAACCUGGGAAUUGCAUUCGAGACUGAAUAGCUAGGGUGCGGUAGAGGGAAGCGGAAUUUCCGGUGUAGCGGUGAAAUGCGUAGAUAUCGAGAGGAACACCUGCGGCGAAGGCGGGUUGCUGGGCCGACACUGACGCUGAGGCGCGAAAGCCAGGGGAGCGAACGGG
rnacentral:rRNA from 1 species